rnacentral:rRNA from 1 species
ACGAACGCUGGCGGCGUGCUUAACACAUGCAAGUCGAACGGAAAGGCCCUGCUUUUGUGGGGUGCUCGAGUGGCGAACGGGUGAGUAACACGUGAGUAACCUGCCCUUGACUUUGGGAUAACUUCAGGAGACUGGGGCUAAUACCGGAUAGGAGCUCCUGCUGCAUGGUGGGGGUUGGAAAGUUUCGGCGGUUGGGGAUGGACUCGCGGCUUAUCAGCUUGUUGGUGGGGUAGUGGCUUACCAAGGCUUUGACGGGUAGCCGGCCUGAGAGGGUGACCGGCCACAUUGGGACUGAGAUACGGCCCAGACUCCUACGGGAGACAGCAGUGGGGAAUAUUGCACAAUGGGCGGAAGCCCGAUGCAGCAACGCCGCGUGCGGGAUGACGGCCUUCGGGUUGUAAACCGCUUUCGCCUGUGACGAAGCGUGAGUGACGGUAAUGGGUAAAGAAGCACCGGCUAACUACGUG